CCUACGGGAGGCAGCAGUGGGGAAUAUUGCACAAUGGGGGAAACCCUGAUGCAGCGACGCCGCGUGAGUGAAGAAGUAUUUCGGUAUGUAAAGCUCUAUCAGCAGGGAAGAAAAUGACGGUACCUGUUUAAGAAGCCCCGGCUAACUACGUGCCAGCAGCCGCGGUAAUACGGAGGGGGCAAGCGUUAUCCGGAUUUACUGGGGGUAAAGGGAGCGUAGACGGCAGCACAAGUCUGGAGUGAAAUGCCGGGGCUUAACCCCGGAACUGCUUUGGAAACUGGGCAGCUAGAGUGCAGGAGGGGGAAGUGGAAUUACUGGUGUAGCGGUGAAAGGCGUAGAUAUUAGGAGGAACACCAGUGGCGAAGGCGGCUUACUGGACUGUAACUGACGUUGAGGCUCGAAAGCGUGGGGAGCAAACAGGAUUAGAUACCCCUGUAGUC
rnacentral:rRNA from 1 species